GGCCUUAUGACCAGUAUUCAAUUAUGUUUGUUAAUAACAAUAAAAACCACUAAAAAACUCAUUAGGUAUAAAACAAAUUCAACAAUAUCUUUCUAAGAAAGACAGAAAAAUCUGUCUUUUCGAACAAUCUUUCUAUUAAAGUAAUUUAUUUAAAUUUUACCGAAUACUACAUUACAUUACAUUACAUUACAUUACAUUACAUUACAUUUAUAUAUUUUUAUAUUGUUAUUAAUAUUUAAUUACUACAUAAUAGCAUAUAUUUAUAUCAUAUUAUAUUAUUUUUAUUAACUCUUGAGUCAAUAUUAACUUACCGAAGAACACUGUGAGGUGAAUGUCCAAUGUUAUAAAAAUGUUCAAAAAAACGUCAAAGUUUAUAAAAUAAUACUGAGACAAUGUAUAUUUGAUCAUUUUAAUAAGUAAAUUGGCUACUCAUGAACUUUG